rnacentral:tRNA from 1 species
GGGCGAGUGGUGAAAUCGGCAAACACAGCGGACUUAAAAUCCGCCGCCGCAAGGCUUGGGGGUUCGAAUCCCCCCUCGCCCA